UACGUAGGGACCAAGCGUUGUUCGGAUUUACUGGGCGUAAAGGGCGCGUAGGCGGCACAGCAAGUCGGAAGUGAAAGCCCGGGGCUCAACCCCGGAAUGGCUUUCGAAACUGCUGAGCUAGAGUACAGAAGGGGCAACCGGAAUUCCCAGUGUAGCGGUGAAAUGCGUAGAUAUUGAGAAGAACACCUGAGGCGAAGGCGGGUUGCUGGGCUGAUACUGACGCUGAGGCGCGAAAGCCAGGGGAGCAAACGGG
rnacentral:rRNA from 1 species